ACUCCGGUUGAUCCUGCCGGCGGCCACCGCUAUAGGAAUUCGAUUAAGACAUGCGAGUCGAGAGUCGUAAUGGACUCGGCGCACUGCUCAGUAACACGUGGAUAACAUACCCUAAAGUGGAGCAUAAUCUCGGAAAACUGAGGAUAAUACUCCAUAGGUCACGAGAUCUGGAAAGACUUGUGGCUCAAAGUUCCGGCGCUUUAGGAUUGGUCUGCGGCCUAUCAGGUAGUAGUGGGUGUAACGGACCCACUAGCCGAUGACGG
rnacentral:ncRNA from 1 species